UACGUAGGGUGCAAGCGUUAAUCGGAAUUACUGGGCGUAAAGCGUGCGCAGGCGGUUGUGUAAGACAGAUGUGAAAUCCCCGGGCUCCAACCUGGGAACUGCAUUUGUGACUGCACGGCUCGAGUGCGGCAGAGGGGGAUGGAAUUCCGCGUGUAGCAGUGAAAUGCGCAGAUAUCAGGGAGGAACACCUAUUGCGAAGGCAGCUCGCUGGGACGUAACUGACGCUGGAGAACGGCGAAAGCGUGGGGAGCAAACACGG
rnacentral:rRNA from 1 species